rnacentral:rRNA from 1 species
UGGGCGGGAACGCCUGGAAUGGUCUCCCGCUGAAAUGGUGUUGAAAGCAUGCUUUCAACGUUGCCCAAGGAUGAGACCGCGGCCGAUCAGGUUGUUGGUGAGGUAACGGCUCACCAAGCCUAUAACCGGUACGGGCCCUGAGAGGGGGAGCCCGGAGAUGGAACCUGAGACAAGGUUCCAGGUCCUACGGGACGCAGCAGGCGCGAAAACUCCACAAUGCACGAAGGUGCGAUGGGGUUAUCCCGAGUGCCGUCUGAUGAAGAUGGCUUUUCACUGGUGUAAUGAGCCAGUGGAAGAAGGGGAGGGCAAGACUGGUGUCAGCCGCCGCGGUAAUACCAGCUCCCCGAGUGGUGGGGACGAUUACUGGGCCUAAAGCGUUCGUAGCCGGCUUAACAAGUCUUCCGUUAAAUCUGGCGACCCAAUCGUCAGGCUGCGGGGGAUACUGUUAGGCUAGGGGGCGGGAGAGGUCGACGGUAUUCUCGGGGUAGGGGUGAAAUCCUAAGAUCCUGAGAGGACCACCAGUGGCGAAGGCGGUCGACCAGAACGCGCCCGACGGUGAGGGACGAAAGCUGGGGUAGCGAACCGGAUUAGAUACCCGGGUAGUCCCAGCCGUAAACUAUGCAGGCUAGGUGUUGGAGCGGCUACGAGCCGCUUCAGUGCCGCAGGGAAGCUAUUAAGCCUGCCGCCUGGGGAGUACGGUCGCAAGACUGAAACUUAAAGGAAUUGGCGGGGAG